ACGAGUUGCAAAACUCCCUAAACCAUUGUGAACCUUACCUAUACCGUUUCUUCGGCGGGCGGCGUUACGCCCUAACCUGCCCUCCCUUUAGGGGCGGUGGACCCGCCGGAGGCCCCUAAACCCUUAGCUUCAGUUGGUAUCUCUGAGUAAAACUUUCAAAUAAGUCA
rnacentral:misc_RNA from 1 species